rnacentral:sRNA from 1 species
CAACACAGGGCCCUUGCAGUGGGGUGCGCUCAGAGCAGAGGGCCUUAAGAAUGGCUCCUCUGUUUACAACACACCCAAUAGGAAUCUGGGCUUACUCCUCACAGGUGGCAUGAUACUUUGGCCUUCCUGUGACAUCAUGCCCUAUACAUGUCUCCCCUGGAGAAGCCCAAGGGACUGCUUUGCACAGGGCGAGUGGGAAAUGGCUCAGUAUUGGAGGCCAAGACCAUAAAAUGUGUUUGGUAAUGAGUCUGGGGCUGGGGGGUCUUAGAAAUCCUUCUCCAGGGGCUGUUUAUAUUUGUUUGGAGGAGGUUGCCACCUGGUGUCUAGUGCUUAGACAGCAGGCUUGCUUGGUUAGAAACAAGUUUCAUUUCCUUUUUCCAAGGUACCUGGAGUACAAGAGGGUCCCUAACAGCAGACCACCUGAAUAUGAGUUCUUCUGGGGCUUGCGCUCCUACCAUGAGACUAGCAAGAUGAAAGUCCUCAAGUUUGCAUGCAAGGUGCAGAAGAAAGACCCCAAGGACUGGGCUGUGCAGUACCGCGAGGCAGUGGAGAUGGAAGUCCAAGCUGCAGCUGUGGCUGUGGCUGAGGCUGAAGCCAGGGCUGAGGCAAGAGCCCAAAUGGGGAUUGGAGAGGAAGCUGUGGCUGGGCCCUGGAAUUGGGAUGACAUGGAUAUCGACUGCCUGACAAGGGAAGAGUUAGGCGAUGAUGCUCAGGCCUGGAGCAGAUUUUCAUUUGAAAUUGAGGCCAGAGCCCAAGAAAAUGCAGAUGCCAGCACCAACGUCAACUUCAGCAGAGGAGCUAGUACCAGGGCUGGCUUCAGCGAUGGUGCUAGUAUUAGCUUC